rnacentral:tRNA from 3 species
GGAAGGUUGGCAGAGUGGUAAUGCACCGGACUCGAAAUCCGGCGAACCGGCUAACACCGGCGCACGGGUUCAAAUCCCGUACCUUCCU